GGCUGGCCCAGGUGCAGUGGUAUUUAAACUAAUUGAUCACAACCAGUUACAGUUUUGUUUUUUCCCCACUCCCACGCUACACUUGACUACUUGA
rnacentral:Y_RNA from 1 species